AGCAGCCGCGGUAAUUCCAGCUCCAAUAGCGUAUAUUAAAGUUGCUGCAGUUAAAAAGCUCGUAGUUGAAUUUCGGGAUCAAUUUGCUGGUCGUGCCUUCGGUACGCACUGGUAUUAUUGGUUUCUCCUUUCUGAUGAAUCGCGAUGUCAUUAAUUUGGUGUCGUGGGGAAUCAGGACCGUUACUUUGAAAAAAUUAGAGUGUUUAAAGCAGGUUCACGCUUGAAUACAUUAGCAUGGAAUAAUGAAAUAGGACGUUUGAUUCUAUUUUGUUGGUUUCUAGGAUCGACGUAAUGAUUAAUAGGGAUAGUUGGGGGCAUUAGUAUUCAAUUGUCAGAGGUGAAAUUCUUGGAUUUAUUGAAGACUAACUACUGCGAAAGCAUUUGCCAAGGAUGUUUUCAUUAAUCAAGAACGAAAGUUAGGGGAUCGAAGACGAUCAGAUACCGUCGUAGUCUUAACCAUAAACUAUGCCGACUAGGGAUCGGAUGAUGUUAAUUUUUUAAUGACUCAUUCGGCGCCUUACG
rnacentral:rRNA from 1 species